UUGAACGCUGGCGGCAUGCUUUACACAUGCAAGUCGAACGGCAGCACGGGGGCAACCCUGGUGGCGAGUGGCGAACGGGUGAGUAAUAUAUCGGAACAUAUCCGGAAGUGGGGGAUAACGUACCGAAAGGUACGCUAAUACCGCAUAUGCCCUGAGGGGGAAAGGGGGGGAUCGCAAGACCUCUCGCUUUCGGAGUGGCCGAUAUCGGAUUAGCUAGUUGGUGAGGUAAAGGCUCACCAAGGCGACGAUCCGUAGCUGGUCUGAGAGGACGACCAGCCACACUGGAACUGAGACACGGUCCAGACUCCUACGGGAGGCAGCAGUGGGGAAUUUUGGACAAUGGGCGAAAGCCUGAUCCAGCCAUGCCGCGUGAGUGAAGAAGGCCUUCGGGUUGUAAAGCUCUUUCAGCCGGAAAGAAAUUGCUUCUAUUAAUACUAGGAGUAGAUGACGGUACCGGAAGAAGAAGCACCGGCUAACUACGU
rnacentral:rRNA from 1 species